CAAUUAUUUUUUUUUGUUAAUUUGUUUUUUCGGUUCCGUAUUCUUUUUUAAUAAAUUAAAGUUUGAUUCUUUCUUUAAAGUUUGGAUUUUGAAUUAUUUUAUAUGUAAGUUUUUCUUUUUUUCUAAAUGGUUUUAAUUCAGUAUUUAAUUUUGGUUUUUAUUGAAAUAUAAAAUCAGGAUUUUUAUUUAUAACUGACAAAAAUUGUGCCAGCCGUCGCGGUUAUACAGUUAGUUAAAUUAAACUUUUUUGAUUUAAUAUUAAUUUUGUUUUUUAUAAAUUUAAUUUUAAUUAUUAGGUGAAAUUUUUAUUAAUUAUAUUUUUAUAGGUAAAUGAUUUAUAUAUGAAAAUUAUUAAUAAACUAGGAUUAGAUACCCUAUUAUUAUAAUUGUAAAUUUUUUUUAAUAUUAAUAGUUAUGUUCUUUAAAUUAAAAGAAUUUGGCGGUUAUUUAAUCUUUCUAGAGGAACCUGUCCUGUAAUUGAUAAUCCACGAUUGAUUUUACUUUAAUUUUGCUUAUAUAUCGCUGUCAUUGAAUGUUUUAUAAGAUUAUUUUCUUUUGUUUUUAUGAAUAUAAUGUUAGGUCAAGAUGUGGCUAUAUUAAAGAAGAGAUGGGUUACAUUUAUUUUAUUAAUGAAUUGAAAUUUGAAAUUUUUUCAUGAAAUUGGAUUUAGGUGUAAUUUUUAUAAAAUAAUAAUUUUGAUUUUAGUUCUAAAUAAUGUACACAUCGCCCGUCACUCCCAUUAUGAGUUGGGAUAAGUCGUAACAAAGUAGGCCUACCGGAAGGUGGGCCUGGUCAGU
rnacentral:ncRNA from 1 species